rnacentral:rRNA from 1 species
UCGCCUGUUUAUCAAAAACAUAGUUUAGUGAAAAUACAUACUAAAUUAAUUCUGCCCAGUGUCUUUUAUGAUAAAUGGCCGCAGUACCUUGACUGUGCUAAGGUAGCAUAAUCAAUUGGCUUUUAAUUGAAGUCUGGAAUGAAAGGAUAAAUGGGAUCUUUCUGUCUUUAGCAUAUAGUAAUAAAUUUAUUUAAAAGGUGAAAAUACCUUUAAAAAAAAAAAAGACGAGAAGACCCUAAGAAUUUUUAAAAUAAAAUUUUCUUUUAAUUUUUUUGUUGGGGCGACAAUUUAGUAAGUUUAACCUAAAUUAUUUAAUAAGGCGAAAUUUUUAAGUAAAAUAAAAUUACCUUAGGGAUAACAGCAUAAUUUUUUAAUAGUUUGUGACCUCGAUGUUGGACUAGGAACUUUAUGACUAACAGUCAAAUAAGAUUUAUUCUGUUCNAAUAAUACUAUCCUACNUGAUCUGAGUUCAAACCGG